AAGACUAUACUUUCAGGGAUCAUUUCUAUAGUUCCUAACUUGAGAGAUGUGUUUCGAAAGUGACGAGUCCCGCCAACCACGAUGACGAGACGUGGCGUUCUCCUCUGAGCGCGAAGCGGGCGGCCGGUAGUGAUUCAAUUCACACGCCGGCCGCCAUUGAUGACCGUUCUGCACCCCCUAGCGGAGCGCAGAGGAGGAGGACGUGUUCUGAGUGGU